CCUACGGGGCGCAGCAGUGGGGAAUAUUGGACAAUGGGCGAAAGCCUGAUCCAGCCAUGCCGCGUGUGUGAAGAAGGCCUUCGGGUUGUAAAGCACUUUCAGUGGGGAAGAAAGCCUUGGGGCUAAUACCCUCGAGGAAGGACAUCACCCACAGAAGAAGCACCGGCUAACUCCGUGCCAGCAGCCGCGGUAAUACGGAGGGUGCGAGCGUUAAUCGGAAUUACUGGGCGUAAAGCGCGCGUAGGCGGUCUGAUAAGCCGGUUGUGAAAGCCCCGGGCUCAACCUGGGAACGGCAUCCGGAACUGUCAGGCUAGAGUGCAGGAGAGGAAGGUAGAAUUCCCGGUGUAGCGGUGAAAUGCGUAGAGAUCGGGAGGAAUACCAGUGGCGAAGGCGGCCUUCUGGACUGACACUGACGCUGAGGUGCGAAAGCGUGGGUAGCAAACAGGAUUAGAUACCCCAUAGUC
rnacentral:rRNA from 1 species